rnacentral:rRNA from 1 species
GACGAACGCUGGCGGCGUGCCUAAUACAUGCAAGUAGAACGCUGAAGCGAGGAGCUUACUCUUCUUGGAUGAGUUGCGAACGGGUGAGUAACGCGUAGGUAACCUGCCUUGUAGCGGGGGAUAACUAUUGGAAACGAUAGCUAAUACCGCAUAACAAUGGAUGACACAUGUCAUUUAUUUGAAAGGGGCAAUUGCUCCACUACAAGAUGGACCUGCGUUGUAUUAGCUAGUAGGUGAGGUAAUGGCUCACCUAGGCGACGAUACAUAGCCGACCUGAGAGGGUGAUCGGCCACACUGGGACUGAGACACGGCCCAGACUCCUACGGGAGGCAGCAGUAGGGAAUCGUCGGCAAUGGGGGCAACCCUGACCGAGCAACGCCGCGUGAGUGAAGAAGGUUUUCGGAUCGUAGAGCUCUGUUGUAAGUCAAGAACGGGUGUGAGAGUGGAAAGUUCACACUGUGACGGUAGCUUACCAGAAAGGGACGGCUAACUACGUG